UGUUGAGGUCACUGAGAAAUGGUUUACAAACUUACCCCAAGUUCUUGAGGUCAGGAGCAGAGGGCAGCUAAGGGAUGUUAAACUCUGUAUAACCCAUGGCUGGAUAAUCCAGGCAGAUCACUACCUGAGUCCCUCCUUGGCUGUCUUUACAUUGGCACAGUCACAUUCUCAUUCAGUGGUUUCUCCAUCCAUGUCUGUGGAAGUGACUUAGGACAGAAGUUGCUGGCCAGUGUUUACCACCCGGACCCACGCCCACUCUCUUCCCAUUGUCCUUCCUGUUGUCCGAGACCAGCUCAGACAGGUGGGAUCAGCACCCAUUAUGUUCGUUAGGACUUGUGCACACAAACCACCAGUAAA